AUAUCAACAAAGAAUUCAAAAAAAAAGAUUUGAUUUUUCUGUUCUUUUUUGAUAUUAUUUGUAAUUAAAUAGAUGUAUUUUCUUGAUGGUUGUGGUUUCGAAAGUUUUCUUUGUUACCCGAAACAAAUUUUUCUUGCGGUUAUAAGCUCGUUUGUUGAUCUUCUAGAGUUGGAAUUCCGCCUCGAGUCGCAAACAUUUCGACACUUUCUUUCCUGUUCUCUGGCCGAUUUUUGGACUCGGUUAAAUGCUUUUU
rnacentral:lncRNA from 1 species